ACGGGGGGGGCAAGCGUUGUUCGGAAUUACUGGGCGUAAAGGGCUCGUAGGCGGCCAACUAAGUCUGACGUGAAAUCCCUCGGCUCAACCGGGGAACUGCGUCGGAUACUGGAUGGCUUGAAUCCGGGAGAGGGAUGUGGAAUUCCAGGUGUAGCGGUGAAAUGCGUAGAUAUCUGGAGGAACACCGGUGGCGAAGGCGGCAUCCUGGACCGGUAUUGACGCUGAGGAGCGAAAGCCAGGGGAGCAAACGG
rnacentral:rRNA from 1 species